rnacentral:rRNA from 1 species
UACGUAGGGGGCAAGCGUUGUCCGGAUUUAUUGGGCGUAAAGAGCGUGUAGGCGGCCAGGUAGGUCUGCUGUGAAAACUCGAGGCUCAACCUCGAGAUGUCGGCGGAAACCAUCUGGCUAGAGUCCGGAAGAGGAGAAUGGAAUUCCCGGUGUAGCGGUGAAAUGCGCAGAUAUCGGGAGGAACACCUGAGGCGAAGGCGGGCUACUGGGCCGAUACUGACGCUGAUGCGCGAAAGCCAGGGGAGCGAACGGG